UCUACGCCAUAAACUCUGUUCAGAGUGUAUUUGAAGACGAAUACAUGUUAUGGACAGUCUUCCUUCUCACUGUCGCCUCAUCUGUUCAGUAGAGGUUUAUCACACUUUUCAAAGCAUUGGUAUUUUAAAGAGGGCGCUGUAUGUUUUAUUCAGAUUAAUUAAGUUAAUGUGGUAAGUGUGAUUGAUUCAUUUUAUUCCAUUUGAAAUACUCUGCUAUCUGCUGCCCUGUACGAUUUUAUUUUUAUUAUUAUAUGUUGGGGCUAUAAUGAGACUUCACUAAAUUAUGUUUUUGCAGUCUAAUUUAAUGGCCAUGCACUGCCACUUUCUUUCUUGAGAACUAUCUUUUAUAUUUUGACUCCAUGUUUCUGUUGAUUUUGUAAAUCUUUUAUAAUAAGAAUCAUAUUUUGAUAACA